GACAGUUUUCACUUGACCUCGACCUCAUUUCAUGGAUCAGUGAACAAGGUUAAGUUUUGGUGGUCAAGUCCAUAUCUCAGAUACUAUAAGCAAUAGGUCUAGUAUAUUCGGUGUAUGGAAGGACUGUAAGGUGUACAUGUCCAACUGGCAGGUGUCAUCUGACCUUGACCUCAUUUUCAUGGUUCAGUGGUUAUAGUUAAGUUUUUGUGUUUUGGUCUGUUUUUCUUAUACUGUAUGCAAUAGGUCUACUAUAUUUGGUGUAUGGAAUGAUUGUAAGGUGUACAUGUCUAGCUGGCAGGUGUCAUCUGACCUUGACCUCAUUUUCAUGGUUCAGUGGUUAUAGUUGAGUUUUUGUGUUUUGGUCUGUUUUUCUUAUACUGUAUGCAAUAGGUCUACAAUAUUUGGUGUAUGGAAUGAUUGUAAGGUGUACAUGUCUAGCUGGCAGGUGUCAUCUGACCUUGACCUCAUUUUCAUGGUUCAGUGGUUAUAGUUGAGUUUUUGUGUUUUGGUCUGUUUUUCUUAUACUGUAUGCAAUAGGUCUACAAUAUUUGGUGUAUGGAAGGAUUGUAAGGUGUACAUGUCUAGCUGGCAGGUGUCAUCUGACCUUGACCUCAUUUUCAUGGUUCAGUGGUUAUAGUUGAGUUUUUGUGUUUUGGUCUGUUUUUCUUAU